GCACUGUGUGUUAUGCGAUGUGUAAUUUAUGCACAGACUCUUUGCCAGCAUUGAUGUAAAAUUUCUAUGCAGAAAAAGAUGCUGUUGUAUUGACGGAUCUUUUUCAACGUUCUUGUUUAAGGUGACUUAGUACACAGGAUAUUUGAUGAGUUUUAAAAACAGAUAUGAAUUGCCUUAGCAUAUAUACAAAUGUUUUUUGGCAAACCUUCCCCUUCACCUUUCUGCAUUGCAUGCAUGAAACCUUAAGCUUGUUUGUAGUUAAUAUUGGAAGAAAACCCCUCAGGCAAAGCCUAAUGAACUGAGAGCAAUUCUGAGCUUCCCUCUGCAAUAUCUUGAGAGCCUUUGCCUUUCUGAGGGCUCAUGGACAUAUCAUGUGACCUUGUUGCUUUGCAUCACGACAGUCUUCCAUUACUGCUGCAGGAUUUGGUGGUGGUGCUGCUGUGCUGACUUAAUACAGGAGUCUCUGCCUUGUGCCUGCAAUGGGCAGUCAAUGGAAAAUGUCUGUGCCUGAGCACUUUCCAGAGUGAGAAGUUGUGAGGCAGCAGGAUUUAGCUCUGACUUUUAUUCUGACAAAGCUAGUAUGAUUGUAGAGUGAGGUUAAAUUCUUUGUCCUGUCUUUUCUUUUUAGGUGUGUGAUAUUUCUCCAUCUCACCUUGAAACCUGUCAGCAAUGGCUGAUGAGGUUCUGUGAGAACCUCGCUGCCACUGGGAGCUUUUCAGAGGGAGAGAGGCUCCACUGGCAGCCCUCAAUCUGCCCAUGGGACUGCCACUGCAGUGGGACCCUGUGCCAGGCUCCUGCAGCUGGACCCGCCCGCACCAGGGCAGCGAGGGCACCGCCACAGCGCUGGGCUUCCCUCCCACAACUCAGCUCGGUCCCACGGUUUGGCAGUGCAGGUUUUAGCCCAAGUAAGAGCAGUGUCUCCUCUCUGCUGCACUGCACUGCCCUCGAGCCCUUUGGCUGUGUCUGCUCUUACAGUCUACAGGUCCCAUCUACUUCUUUUAGCUCAAGCUGCAUUCUCUCAUCCACAGGCCUUGCUCCAGACAAGUGGCCUCCCUUACAUGCAGGAUUCAGAGGGGUGUUCAGUGAGUGGCAGCAUUUGCUGGGAGCCCCUGUCCCUUCAGAAGAGCUGUUUUCAUGAGGGCUUAUGCUGAGCUGCAGAAUCAGGGAUGUCUGGGGUUCAGUGGAUGGUUUGGGGUAGACAGCUCAUACAGCCUGAAAAGGAGACCAGAGCUGAGGUUUGCUUCCUUGCUAAAGCCUCAGCCGUGAAAAUGAGUGAAGUGGGGCUCUGCAUCAUGGCUGCAUCAUGUUCACAGAAAAGAUUUCUCUUACAGUGUUUAUAAGUACUGUGUAUUUGUUUAUCCAGAAAUGAUGGGGCUCUCAGUAUUGAGUGCCUCAGCUGUCCCUAAAGCAAGACACAGAGUCAUUGGCACCAGCUUCAAAAUGCCACAGCCUUCACCUGCAGGGAUUCUCUGCAUGUCCUUAGUCUCCAGUGAACAUAUAUAGACUGACUUUAAAGUGAACAGUUGGGUGAUACAGCCAUGUGUAUCAAGUUCUCAUAUUUGUAUUUCAAGUUUUCCUUGGGGAAUGUGUGUCUUCAAGAAAUCUCAAGAAUUUGCUUGAGGGUUUUUCCAGUGAAGUUCUUGGUUGUCACUUUGCCUGCAGCCAUGGUCAGUCAGUGGAAGCAGGUAGGUGGUCAAAGCUGCUGCUGCUGUUGUGAGCAUCGGGACUGUCUCAUGGCAGUGGUAAGGAGGUGAGAACCAGCUGGUAUGUGGAGGCUCUUUUUGGUGCUGUUCUUCACCCAGACACUGAGCAACUGGCUUGAUUUCUGUGUCAGUGAUAUUCCAUCAGAAACUGCUCUGGUUUGCAGCUUGGCAGUAACAUCACUGUAGCCACCAGGACCUCAGAAUAAGCUGCUAGAUUUUUAAGGUCUUUGUUUAUUCCUGUGUUUGUCUGUGCUCCUCUGUCUGUUCAGUCCAGCAUUCAUCUUUUUUUCUGGGCUUCCCCUCACUCUCAUGAGAGCAUGUCAGUGCUCAUACUGCCUGUCAGUGAUGAGUGCAGUAAUUUUACAGCUUCUGCUUCCCCUUCAUCAGCAUCCAGCAUCCAUGUGAUGCCCAGAUCCAUUGCUCCUGAAAACCAGACCCUGUGCUUGUCACUUCAGUGAGUGCCCAGUAACUGGUGUUCAUGUGGCAUCACCUGAUAACUCCAACCAGAUAUGAGGGAUGCUGCAGUGAGGGGGAAUGAGUGGUGGGAGGAACAUGUUUGCACCCUUCGCCCAGAGAAUCAGGACACAGGAAUGUCAAGCAGGGAAGAUUUAUAUUAUCUGAGCUGCCUAGUUGCAGAUUUCUUGUUUCAUCAGAAAACCCCAGCAUUUUCACUGAUGCAAUCCAGAGCUCUGCCAGAGAGACUGUGUCUUGGUGGUGUUCAGAUGUUGCCAUAUGAUCCCUUUUCCACUCCUUUUCACACACAGUGUUUGAAAACACCCAUUUUCCCAGCAGUCCCCUUUCCAGUGCUUCAAGCCAAGCCAGGCUGUCUGAUUAUUCCUCAUGACAGGUGUAAAAAUGCUGGAUCCACGGCAGAAAACCUCUCGUGAUGAGGAAGCUCUCACUGCAAAUAAUGAGCCAGAUUUACAAAACCUUCACUGUUCCAGACCCUGGACAGGCCACAGAUUCUACAGCAGGAUUUUGUUCUCCUAACAGAUAUCCAAAGGCAAAUUUUCUUUUAAUUAAAUAUGAAAAUCUAUAAUGCAGUCAGCAUGAUGCCUCUUGGUAUGUUUAUUUUUAUACUCCAUUUAUUUGUUUUGUUCUCAACAUCUCCUUCCAUCGGGAGGGAAUUUUCCAUACCAUCUGUGUAUGAGGAGUGAGUGGGACUGAAGGACUAUGGGAGCAAGAUAGAGGUCAGUUGUGGUUUUUAUUGUCUGAGUGGAAAUGGGCACCAUUUGCAGUUGUGGAUGAACACACUAACUGGUCUUUUCUGUAGAAUAAUAUUGACAUUGCAAAGUUGAUAUUUUUAAGCAGCUGUCUUUAGGUUUCAGUAUUACCAGGCUUUAGAGUCCAGUGAAGUAUUUAAUUUCUCAUUACACUUAAUCCUUCACUUUCUGUGUCUACACUCAGAAAAAAAAAAAUCAGUAAUAUUCUGACAAUAUUUUAUUAUUUUUCUCUGCAACCAAAGGACAAAAUAAUUUAAUUUCCCCAGCAUGAAGAUAAUGCCAUGAAUACCAGCUCUGUGGAGGGAGCUGCUCUGCAGGACUGCACAAGAGCCUCUUCCCCAUGUACAGACUCCUUCAGGCUCUAAAAUUCCUCUGUGUCUCCCAGCUUUGACUCCUCCUUUCUCUUUGCCUUAUUCCUCCUUUUGAGUACUUUUCUACGGUCAAGGGUUUUCCCUAUGGAAAGAAAACAUUUAGCCUUUCCUAGCCUUUCUUACACCAUUUGCCCAGCUGGCAUGCCAGGCCUGGCAGUGCUUGGGCACACGAGCAGUGGGGGCGCCCUGCAGCCUCCCCUCCCUUCGGCCAGCCCGGCAGGCAGCACAGGGCUGAGCACCCCAGGCCCUGCUGCUGCUCUGCAGCUGGAGCCAAGCACAGCAGAGACAACGUGCUGGAGCAUUCUGUCUGAGGGGAGUUCAGGGAGGGGAGAGGGAAAAAGGCUGUUAGAUCUAUCGCUGGCAAUUUAGAUUCAGAGACAUUUCAUCUGCAGUUCCCUCAAGUGUUGAAUUGAAUAAAACCAGAGCAGCGGUGGAAAAGGAGGUGGGGGAAGGGCUCCAAGCACUCUCAGCUAAACAAAAAGAGACAGGCAGCUCAUAAAAAAGGAAUUGCAUUCUUGAGUUGAAAAUCUGGAUUCACAGGGCAAGGGAGGAGGCUGCAUGGCAGAGCCCACCCAUGGCAGCACUGCUGAGGGCUUCUGGCACUCCUGCAGCCAGUGCAAAUCACAAGGCUCAUGUCUGGGUUUCCUGAUUUUCUGUUGAUUUUUUUGAAGUUCCUGUUGUAAAAUCAAGCAGGAGGAACAGAGUCCCAGGCUUUGGUUGCAAUUUAAAAAAAAAAAACCUAUCCUGCACUUAUAAUUUUGUAAACACUUUCUGUUGGGGGCCAGACUCAUUGUUCCUAAAUAUAGCUGUGGGAUGGUAGAACUGUUCUCACCAUUAGGCAUUUUUGUUCCUCUGCCUUUGAGGGAAUUUUUGCUGGUGGCUGCUCUGGUAUGCACUGCAGCACCUGGAUUUGUCUGGAUCUGUCCUAUUCCAGGUGUCAGGUGAGAACGGUUUGACAGGAGCACUCAUCCUGGCCAAGGCUGGGAGGAGAGCGACAGACAUCAGAGAGAGCUGGGUUACAGCAGACAGGGCAUCCUUGGGGUCUCUCCUGCCUCAUCUGAGUGUGGUGCCAAUGCCUCUGCAGUGACACAGGGGUGCCACAGGGGUGGCUGUGGCCUCCUUCAGGUGGGAAGGCAGGUCUUUUUUUUGCCCCCUCCCUAGCUUCUUUGUUACCCCUCUGCUCCCUUGUAACAUGUUAGUGGCAGAUUUGAUGCCUUACACUUUGCUCAGCCCUGCUUCAGAACAGGUCAGACUCCACAGCCAAAGCCUGACCAGCACUGAGGUGAUCCCCUGGUACAGCUGGGCAACCUGGACAGGUGUGUGGCACAGGGCUGAUGGCAGCUUGGCCAAGUGUUGUGUUUGCAUUACAGUGUUCCCUGCCUAAAAAGUGUCCUCUGCCUUCAUGGUGCACCUGCGGAAUCCCAUGUGAAACACAAAGCUGGAUGCUCAAGAGCAGAGGAUCUAUCAACUGCAGACCAAGCAGAGGGAGAGGCAGGCAGACCUGGAGCAGAAAUGCAGCCAGAGCAGCAGCUCAGCCAGGACGUGGGGGCCAGCCACCAGCUACGGAAGAGAGCUUGGAGCAGCACAGCCCCAAGCCCUAAUUCCUGAGGAGGAACAGAGCUACAGCACCUGAGACUGCAGCGAGAUCUUGUGAGAAAGAUGGUGCUAAUGCCCCAGACCUUCAGCAACGUUAGGACCACCUGCCUGUGUCAUACCUUGGAGACUGGAGACAGCUGCUAAACAUCUGAAAAACAGAAAUUAUAUAAGAUUCCCAGGGUGAGCAGGAAGGGAUUGGGCAUGACCUCCUGUACCUGUGGUCAUGGAAAUUUCACCGUGUUACUCUGAAAUCAGUAACUGUCUGACUAAGCUUCAGACAGAUGUUUAGCUGGGCUUGAAGACAUCAAGAGAUGGGAAAUGCAUGACAUCCUCCCCUGGCAUGCUGCCAUCAUGGCUGGCUUGGAAGGAGGCCCCAGAGUUGCUGAUGUGGCCAUCCAGGGGCACUAUCCCUCUUCCAGCAACUUAGUGACUGUAACCGCAAGAACCACCAAUAUUUCGUGUCCUGUGAUCAGACCCGAGCAGCACUGGUUUCCUUUCAUUUGUUCCUUCAGUUUCUCAGCAGAAGUUCUACUUGCUGCUGAUUUCCAUCUCUUGGUUCCUUAGAGGAACACAUGACAGCUCCUACAGAGUUUGUGUAUGUCCUUAACAUAGACAGAUUCAAAAAACUGAGAUGCAGCGUCCAGAAGCAGCAUUGGAAACGGUGCCGUGAUGGCGUGAAUACACAGCAGCACCAGCAGCGGUCAGGAGGCAGCCCCAGGGAUUGCUGCACACCUGUGGGAUCAUUUGUGUGCCCAUCUUCACCUUCCCCCUGAGCCUGGGGGAGGUGUUUAAACCAAACCAGGCUAGCCCUGGUGGCCUGUUCCGGCUGACGCUGCCUGGGCAGGACAAGGGGAUGAGCCAGGUGACCCGGUGUUUGAGCAAUGGGAAUGUCAGAGAUUGGCUCCUGUGUGAUUGGGCUGGGUGGGGCUCCUCAUGCACCAACACUCCGCACUACGAGGUUUUAUGGGAAUAUGUGGUAGCUAGAGGAAUAGAGCAGAAGCAAAACACUCGUGCACUCUGGGAUGUGUCAUGGCCUUUCAGCCUCCACUAGGAAGACGGCAGGGCAGAGCAGGUCCCGACCCAUUAUUGCUACUGUGGCUGUUUCCCCCUUCUGUUGUCACAAAUCCAGUUUGUUCUCUCUCCCUUCCCUGGCGGGGCCCUCUCCCUAAAGCUGCUGUGGUUUUUAAUAAGCAUUUUUCAAGUAACUGGCCGGGACACCCACAAGGAUAAUGAGAUCAUUCGCACUGCGAAAUGCAAAACCCUGCAAGUCCCGAUUGUUGUCACUCCCGGUAGACUAUGCCCACACUGCCUGUAUUUGUGUCGCUGUUCCUCAUCCCAAACACAGCAGCGUGCCCCGGGCAGUACCGGAUGGGAUCGGGCCGGGUACGGCUCCCUGCCAACACGAAAGGCCGAGAACUGUCACUGGAACCGCUCAGAAAUAACCUUUAAGGCUUAUUAAGAUUCUACAGACGGAGACAUUGAUUCCGUUUCCCCGUUCAUGAAUCCCAGUUCAGGACCUGACAGCCCUCCGCCUUCCUCGGGUUGAGGCUGAGCUGCGGCGGGAGCACCGGGCACACCCGGCACGGGAAUUCCCAUCACCGGGCACGCCUGCUCCGGGCAGCCGCGGCACGGGCACCCCCACCCCUGGCAACGCCGCUCUGGGAGCUUCGGCUCGGCAGCGCCGGCCCCAAGCCCAGCCCCGAGCGGACCGCGGCAGAACAAAGCUUUGCUGGCAGGUGCAGGAUGUGGAGAACCUCCAGGCAGAGCUGGCCCAAGCCCUGCAAGAGAGCACCAAGCCAGUGGAUAAGAUUGCAGCCUACAAGACAUACAGGCAGCAGCUUCAUUGGGAGCUGAGGAAGAUGCAGAGCUUCAAGGAGCAAAGCAAACAGGAGGUAAGGAGGUCUCAGGUCUUCCUGUAAAAAAACAGGAGUCUGUUCUCGGCUUGUGUCUCUCACUGUGCCAUGGGCAGACCUACCCCCUCCAGGAGAGGCUGCAGGAGCUGAGCAGCCUAGUCCAACACUGGCAGCAGCUACACCUGGACAGUGAGCGAACUCUGGCUCUGCGAGAUGAGGAGCUGGUUGUCUGCAAGGUGGAGCUGGCGUUCCUUAAGGAAGAGCUCAGCAAGAUGACAGAGCAGGUGCAGGACACAAACAGGUGUUCAAGACACACUAGGCAGGAUGCAGGAGAAGAAUCUGUACCUAAUGUUCAAACGCCUGAGCAGCCCCACAAGUGUGAGCAGCUGAAAAAGUGAGCAGAAUUCCUGGCACAACCUGGCCUGAAACAGGGCUGGGCUGAUAGUCCCAGGUGUGCAGGGACAGCUGGGCACAAGCUGCCUGUCCAGGGCAUAGGCUGUGGGAGAUCUGCCUUUGCAGCAGUAUGGGCCAGGCUCGAAAUAGGGACAGGUUGU